rnacentral:lncRNA from 1 species
GGAUAUAUUUGCUGAGAUGAUCUCAAUGAAUCAGAAUUUCAAUUUUAUCUUUAAGCUAUUGACAUUCUUCAGUAUCAUGAUCAUGAUCUCUAUGGUAGCGACAGUACUUUCUUUUAUCUCUUUUCAUUGAUGGAAUUUUUAUAGGAUUGGGCCGACAAAAAUUAAAUAUCCCUAAUCCUUGAUUUUCAUCAAUAUCUAGACAUGAGGAGCAGACAAAGGGAUGUAGGUAUCAAAAUGUCGAGGUGAACUUCUUGACCUUAGAUUUUUCUAAGAUGGGCUG